AGCUUGCUCCGAUCGGAUUAGUGGCGGACGGGUGAGUAACGCGUGAGUAACCUGCCUGCGAGAGGGGGAUAACAACGGGAAACUGUUGCUAAUACCGCAUAACGCAUCGAUUCCGCAUGGAGAUGAUGCCAAAGGGAAACCGCUUGCAGAUGGACUCGCGUCUGAUUAGGUAGUUGGUGAGGUAACGGCUCACCAAGCCGACGAUCAGUAGCCGGACUGAGAGGUUGAACGGCCACAUUGGAACUGAGACACGGUCCAAACUCC
rnacentral:rRNA from 1 species